UACGCAGGGGGCAAGCGUUGUCCGGAUUUACUGGGCGUAAAGAGCGUGUAGGCGGCCAAGCAGGUCCGUUGUGAAAACUGGAGGCUUAACCUCCAGACGUCGACGGAAACCGCGUGGCUAGAGUCCGGAAGAGGAGAGUGGAAUUCCUGGUGUAGCGGUGAAAUGCGCAGAUAUCAGGAAGAACACCAAUGGCGAAGGCAGCUCUCUGGGACGGUACUGACGCUGAGACGCGAAAGCGUGGGGAGCGAACAGG
rnacentral:rRNA from 1 species